UUCCUCAUUUAAUGCAGGGAGUUGGUUCCAGUACUGCAUUCGAUUUUCAGCCCGCUUAAGCAAAGUAUCAAGAAAAUCCAGACACGUUUCCCAUGCUUAAGAGCAGGCUGGAAAUAUUGCCAAGUUUCAGUAUGGACUGCUGAAUCAUCAGAGCUCUCUCAGAGAAGCCAGAUCUGGAGUUCUAUUUGCACGUUCACCAGUGAGUGCCCUUAAAGCCAGAUACUAAGGCUGAGCUAACCUUCUUUGAAAAGAAGCGAGACAAAACUGCCCCACCCUGUAGAUGUUUUCUGAGAUCUCCAGCAUGAAGGAAG